GCGGAGGAAAAGAAACCAACUGGGAUUGCCUCAGUAACGGCGAGUGAAGCGGCAACAGCUCAAAUUUGAAAUCUGGCGCCUUGGGCGUCCGAGUUGUAAUUUGUAGAGGGAGUCUCGGGUUAAGGGUCGGUCCAAGUGCCUUGGAACAGGAUACCGAAGAGGGUGAGAGUCCCGUAUCCGGCCGACGCCAGCGCCCGUGUGAGGCCCCUUCGACGAGUCGAGUUGUUUGGGAAUGCAGCUCUAAAUGGGUGGUAAAUUCCAUUUAAAGCUAAAUACUGGCCAGAGACCGAUAGCGCACAAGUAGAGUGAUCGAAAGAUGAAAAGCACUUUGAAAAGAGAGUCAAACAGUACGUGAAAUUGUUGAAAGGGAAGCGUAUGUGGGCAGAUUUGGACGCUGGAUUCAGGCCGCCUUCUGGCGGGUGUAUUUUCCAGCGGACAGGCCAGCAUCGGUUCUGA
rnacentral:rRNA from 1 species